rnacentral:rRNA from 1 species
ACGCUCGACACCUACGGGAGCAGCAGUAGGGAAUCUUCCACAAUGGGCGCAAGCCUGAUGGAGCAACACCGCGUGAGUGAAGAAGGGUUUCGGCUCGUAAAGCUCUGUUGUUGGAGAAGAACGUGCGUGAGAGUAACUGUUCACGCAGUGACGAUAUCCAACCAGAAAGUCAUGGCUAACUACGUCGCCAGCAGCCGCGGUAAUCUGAGCGGGCUGGCAAGGC